AGGAUCCGUGAGGUGGAGAAUCUGGAGAAGCCCGUGGUUGAGGCAAAUCACUCGGCCAAUUCUGGAGGUUCGCAUUUGGCUGCUCGUGUACACGACUCAGAUGCCAAGCCUUCCACCUCGGAGGUUAAGCUGGAGCUCGACGGAGCUUAGAGCGAAAGGAGGUACGCUUUUCGGUCGUUUUGGACUGAUGAUACGCUUGAGGUUGCAGGCACAGAAUGAAGAUUCAUGAAACAAAUUACUUCGGUUUUUUUAAACCGCAACAGGCACAGGCAGGUCCGUGGUAUUGAAUCAAAAUUAUAACAGAUGGAGAAGUCUGGAGGCAUUUGAAUUAGGAGAUUAUGAUUUGCAAGUCUCAAACAAGGCAACAAGACAACAACUUUUCAUUAAGACAACAGAGAGAUAUUGAAUUGGGAGAUUAUAUUGCAAGUCUCAAACAAACACUUUGGACAUUUAAUUUCCUGUUUUUAAAAAUAUAAACUUUCAAUAA